rnacentral:rRNA from 1 species
AUUGAACGCUGGCGGCAUGCUUUACACAUGCAAGUCGAACGGUAACAGGCCGCAAGGUGCUGACGAGUGGCGAACGGGUGAGUAAUGCAUCGGAACGUGCCCAGUCGUGGGGGAUAACGCAGCGAAAGCUGCGCUAAUACCGCAUACGAUCUAUGGAUGAAGGCGGGGGACCGUAAGGCCUCGCGCGAUUGGAGCGGCCGAUGUCAGAUUAGGUAGUUGGGGGGGUAAAGGCUCACCAAGCCAACGAUCUGUAGCUGGUCUGAGAGGACGACCAGCCACACUGGGACUGGGACACGGCCCAGACUCCUACGGGAGGCAGCAGUGGGGAAUUUUGGACAAUGGGCGCAAGCCUGAUCCAGCAAUGCCGCGUGCAGGAAGAAGGCCUUCGGGUUGUAAACUGCUUUUGUACGGAACGAAAAGGCUCUGGUUAAUACCUGGGGCUCAUGACGGUACCGUAAGAAUAAGCACCGGCUAACUACGUGCCAGCCGCCGCCGUAACAC